GGGCGGUUAGCUCAGCUGGGAGAGCGCUGGUAUCACAAGCCAGAGGUCACAGGUUCAAUCCCUGUACCGCCCACCA
rnacentral:tRNA from 1 species